rnacentral:rRNA from 1 species
CCUACGGGAGGCAGCAGUAGGGAAUAUUGGUCAAUGGACGCAAGUCUGAACCAGCCAUGCCGCGUGCAGGAAGACGGCCCUCUGGGUUGUAAACUGCUUUUAUAUAGGAAGAAACCCCUGGAUGCGUUCGGGGCUGACGGUACUAUAUGAAUAAGGAUCGGCUAACUUCGUGCCAGCAGCCGCGGUAAGACGAAGGAUCCAAGCGUUGUCCGGAUUUACUGGGUUUAAAGGGUCCGUAGGCGGAUGAUUAAGUCAGGGGUGAAAGUUUGCAGCUCAACUGUGAAAUUGCCUUUGAUACUGGUUAUCUUGAGUUGUAUUGAAGUAGGCGGAAUAUGUAGUGUAGCGGUGAAAUGCAUAGAUAUUACAUAGAACACCAAUUGCGAAGGCAGCUUACUAAGUACUAACUGACGCUGAUGGACGAAAGCGUGGGUAGCGAACAGGAUUAGAUACCCUGGUAGUCCACGCCGUAAACGAUGGAUACUAGCUGUUCGGGACCUUGAGUUCUGAGCGGCUAAGCGAAAGUGAUAAGUAUCCCACCUGGGGAGUACGUUCGCAAGAAUGAAACUCAAAGGAAUUGACGGA